UACGGGGAGCAGCAGGCGCGAAAACUUUACACUGUGCGAAAGCGUGAUAAGGGUAUUCUCAGUGCUUACACUUAGGUGUAGGCUUUUGCCAAGGGUAAAUUCCUUGGUGAAUAAGUGGUGGGUAAGACUGGUGCCAGCAGCGCGGUAA
rnacentral:rRNA from 1 species